CCUACGGGCGGCUGCAGUAGGGAAUUUUCCACAAUGGGCGAAAGCCUGAUGGAGCAACGCCGCGUGGGUGAAGAAGGCCUUCUGAUCGUAAAACCCUGUUUUUAGAGAAGAAAGUGCGUGAGAGUAACUGUUCACGUUUCGACGGUAUCUAACCAGAAAGCCACGGCUAACUACGUGCCAGCAGCCGCGGUAAUACGUAGGUGGCAAGCGUUAUCCGGAUUUAUUGGGCGUAAAGGGAUCGCAGGCGGUCUUUUAAGUCUGAUGUGAAAGCCUUCGGCUUAACCGGGGUAGUGCAUUGGAGACUGGGAGACUUGAGUGCAGAAGCGGAGAGUGGAACUCCAUGUGUAGCGGUGAAAUGCGUAGAUAUAAGGAAGAACACCAGUGGCGAAGGCGGCUCUCUGGUCUGUAACUGACGCUGAGGUUCGAAAGCGUGGGUAGCAAACAGGAUUAGAUACCCGGGUAGUC
rnacentral:rRNA from 1 species